UACGUAGGGGGCAAGCGUUGUCCGGAAUCAUUGGGCGUAAAGAGCGUGUAGGCGGCCAGAUAAGUCCGCUGUGAAAUCUCGAGGCUCAACUUCGAGCUGUCGGUGGAAACUGUCUGGCUAGAGUCCGGAAGAGGAGAGUGGAAUUCCUGGUGUAGCAGUGAAAUGCGUAGAUAUCAGGAGGAACACCGGUGGCGAAGGCGGAUCUCUGGGCCGUAACUGACGCUGAGGAGCGAAAGCAUGGGGAGCGAACAGG
rnacentral:rRNA from 1 species